GAUGAACGCUGGCGGCGUGCCUAAUACAUGCAAGUCGAGCGAACGGACGAGAAGCUUGCUUUUCUGAUGUUAGCGGCGGACGGGUGAGUAACACGUGGAUAACCUACCUAUAAGACUGGGAUAACUUCGGGAAACCGGAGCUAAUACCGGAUAAUAUUUUGAACCGCAUGGUUCAAAAGUGAAAGACGGUCUUGCUGUCACUUAUAGAUGGAUCCGCGCUGCAUUAGCUAGUUGGUAAGGUAACGGCUUACCAAGGCAACGAUGCAUAGCCGACCUGAGGGGGUGAUCGGCCACACUGGAACUGAGACACGGUCCAGACUCCGACGGGAGGCAGCAGUAGGGAAUCUUCCGCAAUGGGCGAAAGCCUGACGGAGCAACGCCGCGUGAGUGAUGAAGGUCUUCGGAUCGUAAAACUCUGUUAUUAGGGAAGAACAUAUGUGUAAGUAACUGUGCACAUCUUGACGGUACCUAAUCAGAAAGCCACGGCUAACUACGUG
rnacentral:rRNA from 1 species